rnacentral:rRNA from 1 species
GAUGAACGCUGGCGGCGUGCCUAAUACAUGCAAGUAGAACGCUGAAGGAAGGAGCUUGCUCUUUCCGGAUGAGUUGCGAACGGGUGAGUAACGCGUAGGUAACCUGCCUGGUAGCGGGGGAUAACUAUUGGAAACGAUAGCUAAUACCGCAUAACAGUAGAUGUUGCAUGAUAUCUACUUAAAAGGUGCAAUUGCACCACUACCAGAUGGACCUGCGUUGUAUUAGCUAGUUGGUGAGGUAACGGCUCACCAAGGCGACGAUACAUAGCCGACCUGAGGGGGUGAUCGGCCACACUGGGACUGAGACACGGCCCAGACUCCUACGGGAGGCAGCAGUAGGGAAUCUUCGGCAAUGGACGGAAGUCUGACCGAGCAACGCCGCGUGAGUGAAGAAGGUUUUCGGAUCGUAAAGCUCUGUUGUAAGAGAAGAACGAGUGUGAGAGUGGAAAGUUCACACUGUGACGGUAUCUUACCAGAAAGGGACGGCUAACUACGUG